GGGGGACAUCUCUGUGUUUGGGAAGGAGAGAGGAGGCCAAGCAGCGGGGGAAGGGCCAGAGCGACCAGGAGACCGGCUCCAGACUCCCAGGUUGGAGGGGAGGCGAGGAGGCCUCGGGCGGCGCGCUACGGAGGGGACACUCCAGCCUUCGCCAGACUCGCAGCCGCGAGGAGAGGAGCCUCGGGCUGUGCGCCCUCUCUCUGAGCCCCGCCCCGGACCCUGCCAGGAGGGGGGCACCCAGUGCCGCGCUCCUGUCCUUCCUCCUGCAGCCGGAGCAGAGCCCUGUGCGGCUCGGAGGCUGAAACCCUCAGACCGGCGCCUGCCGAGAUCACGGCCUUCGGGCAAGCUGAAUUCCGGUCCUGGCCCUUGCAGAGAGAACACGAGUGUUAUUCGCCCGUUUCUCAGACCAAGAACGGCCCAUUUUACUACCUCCAAGAGUGCAGUUCUCUCUAAGAAGAACCCAGGAUCCUGGAGCAAGGGAGGAUUAAAGACUCGGUCCCGAUCCCAGAGUCUCUUCCUGACUGGAUAAAAUCCAGUCGACGGGGAACUAGGCUCCAAGGGCCGGCGGGGCGACGGAGAAGAAACCUAUUCUCGGUCUCGUGCGGGGCGCGCUCGACCCCGGGCUUCCCUUCCACGAGGAGCCCCCGCGGCUCAGCGACGGGCUAAGGAGGCACAAAACCCCGGCGAACCAGCGAAAAGCUCCCGACCUCUUUAUUUGGAGUCCGAUAAAAUGCCCGGAGGCAAGCCCUCACCGGCAAAUCGGAAAUGAGGCCUGAGGGAGGCAUCAGGACAGUGCUUUCCGCGUUCUAUUGCCCCCGUCCCCCGUUUGGCUUUUACCUGCCACAGGAUUGGACCAAAGGGGUUUGUUGUCUUACCCUCCUCCCCAGCCUUCGAUCCCCAGGCAUUCCGGGGCCUGCGAAGAAGCCAGCCAACCCCUCUGCCUUUGUCUGAGCUUUGGGGAAAAGAGGCCUGGGCGCCUGGGUCAAGUUCACGGACCUGGCCCGCAUCUUUUAGAGCAAGUGGGGCCAACCUAGUCAUCCGGACUAGGAGCGUCCUAAGCAAUCGGGACUUUGUGUUAUAUGUGUAUGUGUGUGUGCGUGAAACAGAAGUUUCGAGAAGGGCAUUUCGAUUUUACUCUUUUGUUCCAUUCCCACAUCUCCACCCUCCCCUCCACUCAGCUGUGUAAGAGGAGAAAUAAUUCGAUCUGAAACAAAGCCGUUUAUUUGGAAAAAGAAAUGCGAAGGUCUCCUGGAGUGGGGUUCCCAGAAGUAGUCUUAGGUCUUUGGUCCUUGGGUAGUUUUGUGUUAGUUGGGUCCUGGCGUUUAUGAAAGUUAAGGAGUCACAAUAUUUAUUCGGCACCACCGUUUCCGUGGAAUCUGAUUCAAAGUAAAAGAGGCCACAUCUACACCGCUCGCCAAACGCUUGGAACUAAACACAUUGAAAUAAUUACCCAAAACAUUCCUGCCUUUAAAAAAAAACCUCAAAGUGC
rnacentral:lncRNA from 1 species